CCUACGGGAGGCAGCAGUGAGGAAUAUUGGUCAAUGGACGGAAGUCUGAACCAGCCAUGCCGCGUGCAGGAAGACGGCUCUAUGAGUUGUAAACUGCUUUUGUACAAGGGUAAACCUGAAUACGUGUAUUCGGCUGAAAGUACUGUACGAAUAAGGAUCGGCUAACUCCGUGCCAGCAGCCGCGGUAAUACGGAGGAUCCAAGCGUUAUCCGGAUUUAUUGGGUUUAAAGGGUGCGUAGGCGGAUUGAUAAGUUAGAGGUGAAAUGUUGGGGCUUAACCAGGGAACUGCCGCGAAUACUGGUGACCUUGAGAGCAGAGGAGGUAGGCGGAAUGUAUGGUGUAGCGGUGAAAUGCUUAGAGAUCACACAGAACACCGAUUGCGAAGGCAGCUUACCAAUCUAUAUCUGACGUUGAGGCACGAAAGCGUGGGGAGCAAACAGGAUUAGAUACCCGGGUAGUC
rnacentral:rRNA from 1 species